UGAGGAAUAUUGGUCAAUGGGCGAGAGCCUGAACCAGCCAAGUAGCGUGCAGGAUGACGGCCCUAUGGGUUGUAAACUGCUUUUAUAUGGGAAUAAAGUGAGGGACGUGUCCCUUAUUGCAUGUACCAUAUGAAUAAGGACCGGCUAAUUCCGUGCCAGCAGCCGUGGUAAUACGGAAGGUCCAGGCGUUAUCCGGAUUUAUUGGGUUUAAAGGGAGCGUAGGCUGUUUGUUAAGCGUGUUGUGAAAUGUAAGAGCUCAACUUUUAGAUUGCAGCGCGAACUGGCAGACUUGAGUGCGCACAACGUAGGCGGAAUUCAUGGUGUAGCGGUGAAAUGCUUAGAUAUCAUGACGAACUCCGAUUGCGAAGGCAGCUUACGGGAGCGCAACUGACGCUAAAGCUCGAAGGUGCGGGUAUCGAACAGG
rnacentral:rRNA from 1 species